GCAUUGCUGAGGAGUCCCAUACCAGGACGAAACCGCCGUCCAAUGC
rnacentral:hammerhead_ribozyme from 1 species